rnacentral:rRNA from 1 species
UGCGUAGGCGGGCUAAUAAGUCAGUGAUGAAAUCUCUCGGCUCAACCGGGAAACUGCCAUUGAUACUGUUAGUCUUGAGUUCGGUUGAGGUAGGCGGAAUGUGUAAUGUAGCGGUGAAAUGCUUAGAUAUUACACAGAACACCAAUUGCGUAGGCAGCUUACUAGACCGACACUGACGCUGAGGCACGAAAGCGUGGGGAGCGAACAGGAUUAGAUACCCUGGUAGUCC